rnacentral:rRNA from 1 species
AUGCCCAACGACAGCCUCGAUGCGCACCUGUUCGGCAGUGCCCGUGCCGGUGCUGGCGCUGGCUUCGACGUGUCCCUGUCGCCGGCGUUUCUCACGUGGGAGCAGCAUGUGAGGAUCCUCAAGGGCGUCGCAUCCGGGCUGGUGUACCUGCACGAGGGGUGGGAACAGGUGGUGGUGCACCGCGACGUCAAGGCCAGCAACGUGCUGCUGGGCGCGGACAUGAGCGCGCGGCUCGGUGACUUCGGCCUCGCGCGCCUCUACGAGCACGGCGCUGCCACGACUCGCGUCGUCGGGACGUUGGGCUACAUGGCGCUGGAGCUCACCGUGACUGGCAAGGCCACCACAACCAUCGAUGCGUUCGGUUUCGGUGGCCUGCUUCUCGAGCUGGCGAGCAGGCGCCGGUCCAUCAACCCCAUCACCGACGUGAACCUGGUGCGUUGGGUCCGAGACCACGGCGUCAGGCGGCAGGGCUGA